rnacentral:rRNA from 1 species
AAUGUGAUGCAGUACUCUGACUGUAAUAAAGUAGCAUAAUAAGUUGUCAUUUAAUUGGUGGAGAGAAUGAAUGGUUACACGAAUUUUUCACUGUCUUAAAAAAAAUUUUUUAAAAUUGAAAUAAUAGUUAAGAUGCUAUUUAAAAUUGUAAGACGAAGAGACCCUAUAGAGCUUUACUAUAAAUUUUUUUUCCUAGAAAAUAAUAAAUAUUAUUAGGAUUAGGAAAUUUGGUAGUUUAGUUGGGGCGACUGUUUUUUAAAAUUAACAAAAAUAAGCAAUAUAAUAAAUUUAUUUAUUGUAUAAUUAAAUAAUUUAACAAUUACUAAAGUAGGCUAUAAUGACCCGUUAUUUUAAUAAAUAAUAAAUAACGAUUAAUUAAUAAAAGCUACCUUAGGGAUAACAGGAAAU